GCGCCCGCCGGACAAAGCCUGGGCCGGGGCGACGGAGCGGCCUGGAGCGGGGGGGGCACCUCCCGAGCUCCCCCAGCCCUCCUUGUCCGUGGGGAGGGCCCGGGAGAGCGGCAGGAGCCCCGCCACUCUGCCCCCAGGGGCCCCUCGGUGGCGGAGGUGGCUUGGGACAAGCGGAGACAAAACAGGGGGCUCCCGGGGGUGUUCCGGUUGUCAUCCGCCCGCUCCUCCCUGCUGCUGUGGUUGCUUUCGCCCAAGCGGCUGCUGCGCUUGUGACUCUCCUCGCCCGCCUCCCUCGGCAUCUCUUUACAAGCCAAGGUUGACCCCGUCCCUCUCCUGCGAGCCGCUUGCGUCCUCCCGAGAAAGCCAGGCUAAGCACAUUAAAGCCCCCCCAAUGAACCCUGCUGAGUUCUUGAGCCCCCUCCGCGCAACCUGCCCUGAGUAACUGUGGCCCGGUAGCUUAGGGCUCUGAACCCACAGGGACAGGCGGCGGGCGGUGGUUUUAAAUCCCUUUCAUUUUUUCUGAUGGGCAGUGGAAAGAAACCCCUUUCUUGUGCGUCACGCCAGGAUGCGAGAGAUGGGCUGUACCGUGGUUUCGGGGCGCGAGGAGAGAUGGGCCGUACCGUGGUUUCGGGGCACGAAGGAUGUUCUGGAGGCAGGUGUCGGGUUUGACCACUUAAAUUCUUGAUAGGGAGUUUUUGGGGUGUGACCUCUGGCUUUGGCGCUUUGCGGGAGCGGCCUGAAGUGGAACUGCUAAGGGGCCAGAUUGCAGAGAUUUUUUUUUUUUCUUUUUUAAGAAGCAUUUCUCGCUUGGGAGGGAGAAGAAAACCAGGAUUAGCCCCUGGUUCUGUCCGCCUGUGCGUGCGCGUGUAACUUCACUUGUUUCAAUGGGACAGCUGACGGAAGCAAAGAGGAGCAUCCAUGCGUGCGUCUUGAGGAUCGCGUACAGUCAUAACCUCCAGCGGUCAGGAAGAGGCCGUUUUACAGCUCGGUUCCUUUCAACACAUUUGAAGUCCCCUCUGCCGCCCCUCCUGCGGAGAGCUGGUUGGCAGGAGGGUCACCUCGGUCUAAUCGCGUGCAGGCUUUGGUCCAGCAGACUGCGGGUGCACGACUAAUCCUCUUGAAAUCAGUAGGACCACUUGUGUGCUAACGUGCCAGUUGCUUGGAGUCAUUGCCGAGAGCAAGAACAGCCCUUAAAGUUCUCUCCAAAUCAGAUGGAUGGGAGCUGCCUAGAACAACUUGUUCCUGUUUAAUUUUGCAGUUGCCUCUGCUAAUGGCUUAAUGAUCACCUUUGAGCUUGCUGGCCAUAAAAGCUCAGUAGCAGCCUCUCUUGGGGAUUCUCUCUCCAGACCGAGAUGAUUUAGUGCAGAGGGAGGGGGAUAAAACCCUGCUCUGGGAACAGCUUCCAACUCUUUUAAGGACCCGUGCCAGCUUACCGUGCUUGGAGCCGGAUUCCCCGAUGGAGCCCGUCGGAGCUGUGCAUCAACGCAGCUGAAAGCAGAAUUUGGCCCAAAGACAACAGCUUGCAUCAACCGGCCACCUCCUGGCCCCUUCCUUUCGUUCGCACAACAGGCUGCUGUGGAUUGGAACGUGCACCAGAGACGACGUCCUGGCCAGCCAGGACCUUUGACUUGAGGAGACGCGGGAACUGGCGGUCUUGUGGCUCUGAGGGGCUGGCUAUGCAAGCUCUGCAUGGCUUGGGAGCAUGCCCCAAACCAGGAUGCUUUGCAGACACCCCGGCUGCUCUCAACCAGGCGGUGGGGGCAUCCCCAGAGCAUGCUCGCUGCUGCCUCUCUGGUUUUGGUGUGUGCAGAACUAGGGGAGGACCUUGCUUUUUUGAAGGCAGUCUCAAGCGGGGUGAAGCCAGGCGAGGCUUGCCUCGUGAGCCCUGCUAGUGUAGGACCAAGGUGCUCAGAUGCUUUCACACCUUGCAUCCCUGCAGUGGAGAAACGCCUUAUUCCCAUUUUGUAAAUGGGGAAACUGAGGGUGGAGUGAGUUGUCCAAGCUCACUGCAAGGUAUUGAGCCCAUUUUAGCACAUGCUUCCUUCACAGUUCAGUGCUUGUCACAAAAGCCCAACCGGUAGCAAGUAAUGUCCCAGAGCUUGGGAACCACCUGACUGUGGCUCUGCAGAGUCCAGGGAGACUGCUUGCUCUCAGGACCUGUAAGCGCUAUCUAGGAAAAGAAAAUGGAGCUGUGAUACCAGGUCUCGGAAGCGGUGUCCUGUGUUCCCCAUUGCAGCGGGGACUGAUGAGCUGUGACCUGCUCGUGGUUUGUUGGGCUCCAUUAAAUUCAGGAGUAAGAAGUCACCUAGUAGAUGCAUUCAGGGCUUGAUUUGGGAAACUCUGAGCACUGACUGGGACUGGCAGAGGCUCAGCACCUCUGGAAGUGGGCAGCCAUGUUAGUAGUGUACGUGGAACUCCCUCUUAACUGUGCAGUGGCCUUGAAGGGCUUGGCCUCAAUUUGUGCCUGUUCCCACUGGGAACUAAACUCCCCAGGGGGAGCGUGCGAGGCAGAGUGCUACUGGUGCAAAAUCCCCCAGCCCGGACAAAGCCUUGGGCUCCGUUUCAUUCGGUCAGGUACUUAAACCUGCCUCCCCAGCUCAGACUUGCAACCCAAGAAACCAGGAAAAGGGAGGGGCGUGGGACUGCUGUAUGCUUCUAUAUAUACUAUAUAACAAAUGCACGUAUCCUCCUCUGCGUUGUUUUUCUUGCCUUGUUCCUGUCACUGGGCCACACAAUCUCUGAUUUGCAUUGAAUCGAACUCCCCUGUGCUCAGCAGGCCCAGUCCAGAGGUAACACGUGCGGGAGUGUCUGCAGGUUAAAUAUUUUCAUUGUGUUUACUGUGGAAUGGCCUAGGGACCAGUGAAGAUCGGGGCCCUGCAGCGUAUCGGGUACAGUGUAGUGCAGAUCUUGCCCUGGGAGCUCGCAGUCUGAAUAGACAAGACAGACUGAGAGGGAGUGGGAAAAGGAUAAAACGGGCGAGCAGCAGCUUUGCAUGUGUUGCUCCAGUGCUGCGGUUGUCUCUUGCCUGGUUGAGGUCUGUGUGGGAGGGGGUUGGUGGGUGGCUGGCUGGGAGCCCAGGGACAGCGGCUGGUCUAGAAGGAACCGGCUCGGUGUAAUGCAGGUAUUUGGGGUGGGAGAGAGGGGGCAGGAUGGAGAGUAAACACAGCAACCUCCCGUGAGCGCAGCUCUUCCCAGCUUCACUGUUGGCCAGGGCGAGGAGCGUGAGGCCCAAGUGGCAUGGCAAAAGACCCCGACGAAACAACGCAUCUUGUUUUUCUUGAGAGAGCAGGGGCCGUGCCAGAACGAGCAGCACCCACCUGGGAGCAUCUUGCAGGUGUAACAUGCUAGUACAAUGAUGCCAACCCCUCCUCUUCCUCCAUCAGUCUGGUUUUGCCCUCAAUUCAGGUGACUUGAGCAAAACUCUCUGUGACUUGGCUGUUUUAGACACUGAAACUGUGAUGUGUGACACUUGCCUUGGUAGCAGACUUGGGCAUUGCGCUGACUUCGCCCAUCACGGGCAGCCAUUACCCUUCCAUCUCUUAUCCAGAGGGCGAGACGAUUGCUUUGGCAUGUCCACGUAGAAGAGGACCUCGCACCCACCGGGGAGUCCAGGAUUCACCUUCUCGGCUGGCAAAGGGGGAGCUGCACCCCUGAGCUGGGAGGGCCCCAAAAACAGCACCGUGCCUUGUGUUUCGGCCAGCUUUGCAGAACUAGCAGCGGAGCAUGGGUGACUGACCUCUGGACUCGCAAGGCCCUGGCACAGCCCGUGGGUGCGAGGAUCAGGCAUGUGAGAGGGAGGAUUAAACCAUAUCUUCUGAACAGCAGCAUGAUCCUCUUAAAACAAGUUGCACCCCUUGCUCUCCCCAGAAGAGCGGGUCUUUUGGAAGCCCGGUGACUCACCUUCGUUCCCUAGCUGCAAGAUUGGGGUAGUAUUGGUUCACUGGGGUCUGGGUCUAUCCGCUCCUCUUGGCUCUCCUUCGGGCAGAGUUCAGCAGCCAUUUUCUGCUCGGGCGUAGACUCCUGUGGAAGAGAAACACCUUGUGCUCCCUCGUGGGAAGUGCACUAUAGCUUAUUUUUCCUGCCGGGGUGUUCCCCCUGGGAAAUGAGUCAUGCUGAGGGAUGGUGUGGGGACACAGCUUGUGUCUGGAGGAGAAAACCCCGAUGCAGAGAAAUAUGGCAGUGCUUCUGGGAGGAGUGCCGCACAAAUUAGCACGCUGGCAACUCAUUGACACAAGAUGGUAGCACAAGAAAAGCUGAGCUGACAAGGCUAAGCCUGUUGCCCACGGUGUUUUCAUACUGAUCACACUGGCUUCAGAAAGCCCUAGAGUCUCUUUAAUCUGAUCGCUAGCCGGCGAGUGGCAGUUCGGCACAGAUCUGCUAUCUGUCCCUCAGCUCUGGUGCGCCGGCUCCCUCCUCGGCCCUGCCUCGCCUCCUUUCUCAAACAGUGUAGUUCUCAACUUACAAAAUGCUCGACCACGGUGUGGGGAGAUCAGCGAGCAAGGACGUUGCUAGAGUCUGGGUUCUUCUGCAGGGGAGGCAGAUGACGAUGAAAUCCAGGACCCCCUGGGAUGGAGAUUUGGCUGCCUGGAACAGAUUGCAGGGCCAGAUCCAGGGGCAGAAUUCAAUGACGGUUUGAACAGUUGCAGGGAAAAGCUGCCUUGGAGAUUGUCUCUGCCUAUUUGCUCCAGUGAUGCCUGUUAGAUCAGGCGGCCUGGUCUGUUUUCCUCUCUCCUGCAGUCCCAGCUUGGGCAAGUAGAUGCUUCUCCUUCCUCUGUUUUGGGUGGCUCCUUUUAGCUCUGUUUCAAAGCAGGAUCCCUUUUCCUCUGGUCUCUCACCUGGAGCCAGGGUGUUGUGCCUGCUCAGAGCUAAACCAUGGGCUGCAGCCUCGCUCAGCGUAGCAUGCUUUUUAGCCUUGCCUUGGCUGGGGGGUGGCAAGUGAGUCCUCACCACAACUUAGCUAGAACAGGGUGUGAUGUCUUGGAGAACAUCUGCUUGUCUGCAUCGGCGCUGUCAGCUCUGAGCUUGUUCAGUGCGUGAUGCUGAACGCCUCGGGUGGGGUGGGGGGUGCGGACACAGCCCAAGAGCAUGUGAUUCACCCGUCUCCAGACCUGGGACACUGAACAGUGGCUUAACCUUUGUGGCCCCCAUCCAGGUGGGAUGAUGGGGUGGCCACAUCCUACUGAAAUGCUGCUUCCUGCAAACUCUCUACAGAGAGUUGCGCCUAAUGCGUGGGAAAUCCCUGAACAGAACAAAGCAGCAAGGUGUUUAACCCUGGGUCAGACCACCCCCCUCCCCGAGAGCUAGGGGAAUUCACAGGCACAGAAAGCUGGGGCAGAAGAGGUGAAACAGGGGCAUGCUGCUUAGCAGAAGGGUUGGUUUAAUUGGGGGGACCAGCUGAGAGAAGGGAACUCCCUACACAGGAGAGAGACGCUAUAAUUUGGAAGAAAAGCCAUGUGAUGGAAGGAUGACCUUGGACUCCUUAAGGAACUCGGGCCAAAGCCUGAAGACUGUUCGUGCUGCUCUGUAGUAACAGCCUGUGCACCUGCUCUUACCCAGAACAAGUGGAAGCUAAAACUGUGUUCAAUUUACCCCUUGGCGAGAGGCAAGGUCCCUGUCUCAGGCAGCCACAGGCAUGUACAUAUUAAAUAGUUUGACCAGACCUCUCUAUUUCUUGUGCUACCUAAAGUAAGGAGGGGUUGGUGUUUGGAAGCCCUCGGAGCCUGUGCCCAUGUGCAGCGGACGCAGACUAUGCAGAUCGCUGAGAGGCAAAUUGCUAGUCUAAACUGCCCAUGAAGUUGGAGCUGUGCAUGAGCUACUGAAGCAUCAGCACGGGUCCAGGGAGCCCAGGGCAGAUGGGGACUGAGGGCUUAUGUCUGUGAUAACGUCAGAAAUGAGGAAUCUGUGUCCUGGAAGUCGACCAGAGUGGUCAAGGAACGAAUUGUGACUGCGACCUUCUCGGACCAAGGGAUGCUUGAGAGUGCAUGAAUCCAGUGUGGUGGGACUCGAACCCAGCAGCUGGGGUGAGUCCGGUCUGAGGGAAGCUCCAAAAGGGUUGUGAUGUGCAAGACAAAGCAGCGUGCAGGUUUACCUGCCUGUUCUGAAAUCGCACCUGGGUGGAUCUGCCUUGCGAGGAGACGUGCUUCAGAUGAAAGAACCGGGAUCCCCUUGCAGGGGGCUUGCCUUGGCCUCUUCCCAGUUUGCUUCUGCCCUGAAACGUGAUGGUUAAUAGCCCUCCUGUUAUCCUCCCUAGAGUAAAGCAGCUGCGUCACCUCUCUCUGCCCGCAAUGAUUGGGUAAAUUCAAAUAGAUUGCCUUUUUGCUAUAUGCAAAUCUCUAGCUCCUCAUAACUGGCUAGUGCAUGUGUGCACUUGGGGAAUUUGCAUGAUCAGCUUCACUGACCCAAGCCUGGGAAGUCCGGGGUCUUGCCCUUAGACACACAAUUCCUGCCGGUGCGAGCACAGGUUACGUGCUAAUGGGAACGCAGCAUUAGCCCUGGGGACCGUUCUUAGUAACGACUGCAGCAGACAGCCUGGCAGGGCCUCUGUUUCGCAACCACCCCAGGAAGGAUGAGACCCAAGGCCACGCUCGCACUAGAAAGUCUUAGCAGUGAAACUUUUAAAUGAGGACUACUACUUUCCUGCUCAGGUGCUCCUCUUGCUCUUCACCCUGAUGGGUUUCAGGCCGUUCCAUUUCUCCCAGGAACAUCUUUGCAGCAGGGCAGGGACAGAUCUAGUGGCACCGAAAUUUGUCACUCCAUCAUGCCUGUUGUUUCUUCGAGUCCUGGACCGUGAAGAGCUGGAAUCCCAAGGGACAGUGGAAUUGGGCAGUUCUGGGAGACUACGGGAAAUGUCACUUCUUGCACGGGGGUGGUGCCGGUGCUCGGGCAGGCUGGCCUGGGGAAUUUCGGAGCUCUUGGGCGCGCAAAGCAAUGACGAGUCCAGAAAGAACCAGACUCUUGGGCCAGACUGGGGACCUGGGAGGAGAAAAGGGGCCGGGUUUAGAGGUGGUUUCAUAUGUUGGGUCUGUCCCAAAGGGCUGAGUCUGGGUAGCAGGAGCUCAGGGAGCCAGCAGGCACAUCCAAAGCUGGGAGAACUGUGGGUCCUAGUUUACUGUCACAGCCCAGGCUGGGAAGGGUUAACGCCUCUGCUGCGCCUGUACAACUGCAGCACUCUCCUCCUUUGUUCGUUUUCUCGCUCCCUCCAGCCUCCCCCCGCUGUCUUUGUGUGCAUUUCUCUCUCUUCACAGGUCCCUAAUUCCUUCUAGACCUUCCUUCAUGGCUUCUGCUCCCUGUGCCCACGUCGCCUGCUGCUCGGGGCACGGCUGCAAGGAGCAGCCCGUUUAUUUUGCCCCCUCGGGCUGUGCACGCUCCUGUGGCUGAGUGGAGGCGGGGGCAGCGGGCUGCUGCUGAGGCCUGCAGCCCCCCCAGGUGCUUCUGUGACUCGCUGGGGUAGGAGCUGUCAUGGGCUCAGGGACAGCAGAGGUGGGAAACUUCCCAGCACAGGCUCAACAGAGAGAUGGCAGGUGUCUGGGGCCAUGCAUUUCCACCCAUCCCAGAGCUCCUCUCUUGGCGUUCCCUCCUUAAGCCCCGCAGGGUGGCCCUGCCUCCUGGGUGGGAAACCAUGGAGCAUGCAGUCAGGUUGUCAUAGCCAGCCUUGGGGGCCUGCCCUGCACAGCUCCCUGGGGAGGCGCUUAGUGACAACGCAGAGUGAGUUCACGGGGGAAGGAAGGACUACGCUGAGCUGCUAGCUAUCCGCGUGGGGCUCUGCAGCCCAUGGGGACAGGCUGCCCUCCCCUCCCCGGGGGAGCCUGGCACGCAGAACAAACACAUUCAGGUUGGGCAUCAGGUUAAAAAUCUUGGCUCCGCAAGCCUGGGGGGCUUAGGAGACCUUUUAAAUAUAGCUCUUCCUCUCCAGCCACGCCACCCCCAAAGCAGCUCCAGUUCUCUGUCCGUAGGGACAGACCUCGGGCUCUGCACACUCUGCUACUUGAUAGCAGGGAUAGGGUGGCAGCCUGCCCUCCCUGAUGGACUUCAGUAGGCCCCUUCGCCCUGGGAGCAUGUGGUCCACCUUGGACUCUGCUCCCUAGUUUGCAAGCAGCUGAGCUCUGCCGCAGCAAAGACAAAAACAGCUGAGUAUAUCUCAUGCUCUCUGGCCUUGCCUUCGCUCCUCGGCACCCCUUCACCAUUCCUGGCACCGGGAGGCUCCUCAUGGGCUGCAGGACUUCAUGACACUCCCAUGUGUUUUCUCACCGAUUUAUGAAACGUGCCUGUGAGGCCGCUGUUCUGGCUGGAUUUGCUCGGGGGAGAGCAAGCCGUAUGCAGCCAUGGAGCACCCCGAUGCCGUGGCGCUAUGCUGGUGUUUCUCUGCAGGCUCCAAUGGAGCCGGCCAAGACCCUCUUCCCCCUGCUUCAGCAUCCUCGGUAGGAGGGAGGCCUUCUGGAGUGGAAGAUGGGCCUAGUGGCUCCUGGCCUAGAUAUCGGCUCUGUUCCCUAUUCCACCGAAAGCUUCCUGUAUGACUGGACCAGUCACUUAGCUGCUCUGAUCCUUGGUUCCCCUUCUGGAAAUCGGGGAUGACAGCACCUGCCUGCCAGGGGAGCUCUCCAAGGCUAAAUCCAUACAAGCUUGCAAGGCACACGGAUAGGAUGGGGCUAGGGUCAUCUAAAGCCUUUGGCUUCCCAGAGCAGGAUUACAAGGACCGUGGUGAGAUGUGGGACAGCAUGCUCCAUUCUGGGUAGAAAAUAGCUUGCAGCUUCUUAUACCUGCCUGUCGCCGCUAAUCUCCGAGCGCGCCUCCCUUCUGGGCCGUUGGCUUGGGGAUGGUACCAGCGCUGCCUCUGCUUGGCUUAUGCAAGCUUGCAAAAAGGGAUCAUGGGUCUGGAAGGGGAGGCUCCCAGGUGGAGAGGGGACAGACCUCCUCGCCCUUCCCUGGAUGGGGUUGUCCCAGCCCAGAGGAGACUGGGAACCACCGUGGGAAUCUCCUGUUGCACGCAGGUGUUCUGGCUGCUGGGGCUGGUUUCCUGCCAGCCUUCUGCGUCUAGCCGGCUCUUCUUCCUCCUCUGUUCUGGGGUCAGGGUUCCUCGUCUGAUCUAUUCCCAGUGCGUCGUAGCGCCUGAACGCGCAAAAGGGUUAAGUGACGCCACGGCCUGGCAGGGGAAACCCGUGUGAGAGUCAUCUGUUUUCCAGCGCUCUGGCCCUGCUGACCCCAGACAUUCCCUGGAACUCGGCAGCCCUGCGCUCCAUCCCCCAUCCUGGCGCUGCCUGGCACAGCACAGAAAACAAUAGGAGGCUUCCUAGUAUUGACAUGCCCCGAGCAGCCCAGCGAACCAUCUGGCGAAAGGGCUGGGAAGCUCACUGCUAGCUCCUUGGCCCGCCUGGGAAAUGCUCUGGCCCCCAAGGCUGAUGGAGGCCGACAGGGUGCAGGGGCUUGCGGGGUGGGGAGCAUGGGGGGGAGCAGCAGUUGAGGAUGUCGAAUGCUUUUCAGUGUCUGCCCCCGCUUUUGUUUUACGUGGCAGACCCUAAACUCUCCAUGUCCUCGGUCCCAACAUCCUGUUCUUCCCACCCCAGACGGCUGCGUGCUCGCCAGGGGAUAUCGCCAGGAUUUCCCCCGAUAACUGGCCUGUCCUCCUCCUCCCCUCUGAGCUGAUGGGUUGUUCCAGGGUGAGCUCCUCUCCCCAUCAACACGCACACAAGAUGGAGAAGAAGCUGGUGGUGUCUCCCCAGCAGCUGUAUGCUGUGUCCCCAUCACGCACGAGAUGCUGUUGCGCGCCAGCGACACCCAGGGCAUCUGCCCAUUGGCUCUGUCUUCCCCGUGGCUCUGCUGGGCACCUCUGCCCUCGAAUCUGGACCCUCCUUGCUGAAGUCCAUGUGAACGUGAAGAUUGCUGCCUCUAAGAGGUGUAAUCUCCACCCUCCCUGGAGCAAAUGGAGGCAAGAUGCAUACACACUGGUCGUGAUUCUCACCUUCACCCUCCAUCUCCACUUGCCCUGCAGUAUGACCCUGCAUUGCACACUCGCCUCGGCCCCUGCAAUGGACCAUCCUUUCCCCAAAGCUGUUUUGCAGAGGAGGCCCACCGCGUGCUUCUGCAUGCAUAGUUAGAUUGUCCCCGGAGCAGGCAGGCGUGCUCCUCUAUCUUGCCGACACGUGGGCUCGCUGAUGAGAAGCCUAUGCAGAUGUUCAGUGAUUCAGCCAGGCUGAAUGCCCUCAUGUCCAGGGUCCAGUGGCUUGAGCUAAUAUCUCAUGAAUGCUGCUUUUCUCUGUCGCCGUGGGAGGUGGCAGGGCUUGGUAAAUAACCUUUCAUUAUGAAACGAAACCUGUGAUUCUUUCCAUAGAGCACUGGGGUGGCUUGUCAUUCUGCCGUUGCCCUUGGCCUGGGGACAGCGCCUCGCUGCCAUCUGAGCUCCAUACACCAGAGAUUCCCCCUCCUGUUUCUAGGAUGCCAGCCCUACCCUGCUGUGACCAGCAUGUGUGGCAUCAGACCGUGCGUCACGAGCAGAGAGAAGGAGAUGCUUGGACCCUUGGGCAGGGCACCGACCAAGUCAGCCAGAGGAUCGGGGCCUGUGCACGCCAAGCUAGUUCUGCGUACGGAUGUAGAAUACACCUGUGCUUUAAGUGUGGUCCAGUGGACGGUUGUGUUUUUCUACUCGGUGCACCUGGGGCAUACUUUUCAGUGCAUCAGAUGUUUAAGCAACAGUGCAAAAGGAGAAGAGGAAGAGAAAAGCUGGGCUUGUGUGUAAGAAGGUAGACUGGAGACUUGGGAAUGGGAAUUUGGUUCCUGGCUCUGCCAGAGAGUUCAUCAGUUCUUUUGGCCUGUGACUUAUAGUCUGAUUUCUCCAUGCACUUAAGUCUGUGUUUGGAUCAAAACCUGCUUUGCCUAAUCUCAGACAAAGCUUCCUAAUUGUCAGAACAGCAGGACAGUGGAAAGAGCUGCCCAGGGAAAGUGUGGCCUCUGCUUCAUCGGAGGUUUGCAUGCAGAGGCUGGAUAAGCCUCUCCGUGGAAUGGCUUGGGAGUAGCAAGACCUGUGUCUGUGCUGAAAGUGGGACAAGAUGAACCCAAAGACCCUUUCCAACUUCGUUCUCAGGAGCUUGACAUUAAAUGUACAUUCCUAUGCCUUGCUGUGUCAGCAUGACCGGCUGAAUUCAGGCUUUGAUUUCUCAUCUCCAGAAUAGGGAGAAUGCUUUUUGUCCUGGCUAUGCAGGUUGCAAACAAGACUAGGACUGAUGUCUGCACCUGUAAUGGCCUGGGGUCUCCUGGUGCUACAGAAAUGCAAAUAAUACUCAGUAAAGUCUCUGUCCUUAGCAAAUCUGCCUUCCAACUGAGCCAUCUUUUGCUCCAGGACUGUGUGCAUGUGCAACGUAAGAGAAAAGUGACUCUUUCUUUCUGUUGCAAUGCAGGGAUGAAGGGAAUCUGCCUGAAUUUUUGGAAAACUUUAAAUGGAGACCCUGGAAGGUUUCAAGCCAGAAAGGGAGCGUGGUGGGAAGCUCAGAACAUGUGAAAGCAGCAGUUACAAUGAGCCGCUUUACAGCCUUCAUUAUAGCAGGGGCUGUUGCUGGACUGCUAUAAAAGAAAGUUUCCACUGAACGCUUCACUUCCUGUGGUCUAUGGAAACUACAUGAGG